UGACGGCUGCGCAGAAUUGGUCGUUUUCAACUGAAGACGUCCCCGGCGGGGGAAGUCCGGUGAGAGACCGGCGCUGACCCGCAAAGGUGUGCGGCCCAACGAGGUCGUGAGCCCUGAUGCCCGCCGUGGACGGAGUUUUCUCC
rnacentral:ncRNA from 18 species